AUGAGACUUUGGCUCCACCUAAUUUUCAUUGUAGCGGCUUUCGAAGGUGUCCGGUCCCAGGUGCAGCUGGUGGAGUCCGGAGGGGAUGUGAAAAAGCCCGGAGACUCUCUCCGCCUCUCCUGCAAAGCCUCCGGGUUCACCUUCAGCAGCUACAGCAUGAGCUGGGUCCGCCAGGCUCCCGGGAAGGGGCUGGAGUGGGUCUCGGUUAUCAGCAGCAGCGGGGGUACUAUCUACUACUCCGACGCAGUGAAGGGCCGAUUCACCAUCUCCAGGGACAACUCCAACAACCUGCUGUAUCUGCAAGUGACCGGCCUGAAGCCCGAGGACACCGCCCGCUAUUACUGUGCCCGGUCCCAGGUGCAGCUGGUGGAGUCCGGAGGGGAUGUGAAAAAGCCCGGAGACUCUCUCCGCCUCUCCUGCAAAGCCUCCGGGUUCACCUUCAGCAGCUACUACAUGAGCUGGAUCCGACAGGCUCCCGGGAAGGGGCUAGAAUGGGUCGCAUUUAUUUACAAUGAUGGGUCGGAUCCAAGCUACGCUGAUUCAGUCAAAGGCCGGUUCACCAUCUCCAGGGAUAAUCCCAAGAGUGAGCUGUAUCUGCAAAUGACCGGCCUGAAGCCCGAGGACACCGCCCGCUAUUACUGUGCGAGAGACACAGUGACACGAAACCGG